UGCUUUGAGGAAGAUCGUGCC
rnacentral:piRNA from 1 species